rnacentral:tRNA from 1 species
GCCCUCGUAGCCCAACCGGCAGAGGCAAGCGGCUUAAACCCGCUGCAGUGCGGGUUCGAAUCCCGUCGGGGGCA